rnacentral:lncRNA from 1 species
GAGAAAGUCAAAGGAAAGGUGGUGCAAUUUGUCCUGUGGCUGCUGAAGACUGGAAGGUGCUAGCUGAACAUGAUCACAAGAGGAAAGCUCCGUGCAAAGGGAUUGAUGUGUGCCUUCAGGCUUCCCAGAGAGCAGCCAUACUCCAAGACUGGCCCAUCUAUGAACUCACAGAAAAAUCACCAAGGUUAUGUUUUAUAAAACACCUAACCAAAUGAAGAAAUUAAUCAGUGUCAAUUGGAAUAUCAAAGACAAACAAACUGUCUAUAAAACAGUCUGAAAAAUGUAUGUGAGAGGACUUUGAAAGUGUCCUGCAGAAUACCACCAGUUCCAGCCCAUAAGAGGCAGAGGCAGGAGAGUACCAAGCUUGAGACCACCUUUGGCUACACGUUGAAGCUCAGUUUCAAAAUGAAAGCAAAACCCAAAUCCAAAGCACAAAAUCCCAAUGGUCAGCUAGUCGGCUUAUUCUCUCCUUCCACGAACAGGUUAAAAGCUCUAAUACUGCAGCCCUUAAAUGAGAUGCAGAAGAUGCCUUUUGAAGAGGCCAUGUUCCAGUUAUCAUGUAGAAGAAUGUGAAUUGAUCCAUUCUUAUCUCCUUGUACAAACCUCAAGUCUACGUGGAUCAAAGACCACCAUAUAAGACCAGAGACACUGAAAUUAAUGGAGGAGAAAGUGGGGAAAAUCCUCGAAGAUAUAGGUACAAGGGAAAAAUUCCUAAACAGAACAGCAAUGGCCUGUGCUGUAAGAUCAAUAAUCAACAAAUGGGACCUCAUAAAAUUACAAAGCUUCUGUAGGGCAAAAGAUAAUGUCAAUAAGACAAAAAGGCCACCAACAGAUUGAGAAAGAAUUUUUACCAAUCCUAAAUCUGAUAGGGGGCUAAUAUCCAAUAUAUACAAAGAGCUCAAGAAGCUGAACUCCAGAAAUUUAAAUAACCCCAUUUAAAAAUAGGGUACAGAGUUAAACAAAGGAUUCUCAGCUGAGGAAUACUGAAUGGCUGAGAAGCACCUAAAAAAUGUUCAACAUCCUUAAACAUCAGGGAAAUGCAAAUCAAAACAACCCUGAGAUUCCACCUCACACCAGUCAGAAUGGCUAAGAUCAAAAAUUCAGGUAACAGCAGAUGCUGGCAAGGAUGUGGUGAAAGAGGAACACUCCUCCAUUGCUGGUGGGAUUGCAAGCUGUUACAACCACUCUGGAAAUCAGUCUGGAAGUUCCUCAGAAAAUGGACAUAGUACUGCUGGAAGAUCCAGCAAUACCUCUCCUGGGCAUAUACCCAGAAGAUGUUCCAACUGGUAAUAAGGACACAUGCUCCAAUAUGUUCAUAGCAGCCUUAUUUAUAAUAGCCAGAGGCUGGAAAGAACUCAGAUGUCCCUCAACAGAGGAAUGGAUACAGAAAAUGUGGUACAUUUAUACAAUGGAGUACUACUCAGCUAUUAAAAACAAAGAAUUUAUGAAAUUCUUAGUCUGGAGGAUAUCAUCCUGAGUGAGUAUGAGUCUUCUCUCCGAAUUUCCCAGAGGACCCACUUUUACUGCAUCCUUAAAGUGGACUGAGUGGGUCAAAGAAGAUAAGAGCCUACUGAGAAUUUAACUAGCUUGCUUGGUUAUCUAAUAUAUUGAACACAAAAUUUCCAUGAAAAUGCAAAUUAUGAACUGACAAUAACUUUGUGUAUAUUCUUAAGAUCCAAAGUCAUAGGAAUCACAGAACUCUUCAUGGAGCCACCAUUGAGCUGCUCAUAUACAAAUGGGAAGUACAAGAUGCCUAGGAAUCCAGAGCUUUUAGUUCACCACAGGAAGACAAAACUGAUUUCCACGGGAGAAGCUGAAAUCAUACCGAUGCCAGGCCGGCUCUGACUUUGGCCUCUAGUGUUUAAUUUAAGGUCGGUGCUUGUUUUUAUUGCUCCCCCUGAUUUCCUGGAAGACAGACAAAUAAUCUAAAGAAUGUGAGUGCCUGCUUUGAAUUAAACCCACUGAGUCAAAUUACUGAUUGCAAGGCUAGUGGUGAGGAACACAUGGAUCUGCUCUGAGUGGAGUAGAAAGGCCCUGCUCCUCGGUCGCUUGAGAGGAGGCUGUCACACACCCCAGGGGCUUUGCCCAACCUCCCUCUGAUGGACAGCGAUUCUGAGACUGCUCCUUCGCAUUUCAUCAAGAGUGAUGACUCUCAGCCACCUUAAUGUCACGGCUUGGAGGCUCCUGAAGCAAUUGGUUUCGUAGUUUAUUUUGUGAACUGUGCUGUGGACACAAGACUUUGAAAAGUAAAGCUCGAGUUCCAAUCUAAAGAUCUGAAAAGAACAUUUUCAAUCUGUUGGUGCAGACUGUUCUCCAUCAGCCCAGCUGCCAGCAGUUACGCGUGGCACUGGGCAGCCUCACACAGUCGGGCACAGCCGCUCCUCUGGAUGCUGAGGCAAGCCGAGCGCAGAGAUUACCACAUUAUCAUCUCCCGACUGAAGCCAGAGUUCCAUUUAACAAGCUGACAAGAGCGCCAGGACCACAAAAUAACAAGCAGAAACACGGUGUGGUAUUUGUCAAAGAUAAAGGGCUGAGGUGCAGCUUAAGGCUUCUCAGAGGCUCGGGAAGACAUUCAAAUCAUCUGCCCCAAAUGUUUUCAGUGCCUUGAACUUUCUCCCACAUUGCUCUUAUUUGGGGGUCCCCAUUUUGGUACUGGAUGCUUCCUUCAACUGGCGGCACUCCUUUGAAGAAACUAGAAAUGUCCUCAGAGUCUGUUGAUUUUCCUAACAUGUUUUAAGUUUCUGCACAUGCACUUUGCUUAAAAGGCCAUGCCUACUUUCAGGUCUACAUUAUUGUUAAGCUUUUCUGGAGCUAAUUUUACAAAUUUCUUAUGAACACAUAUAUUUAUAUGCUGGAGGUCCACGUAAUAGUAUACAGCCUCUCUCUCUCUCUCUUUUUUUUCUUCUUGACUUUAAAGAAAGCACAGAGAGAGCUUUGUUUUUAAAAUGUCAUAUGGGGUGGUUAGAAGUAGGGGAAAAUAUAGUGUUUAAGUCAUAAUCUAGCAUGUCUAUCUAUCAUAUUGCUUUUAUUGCAUGAAAUGAUUUUUUAAAAGAAUUUUAGAAUUCUUUUUUUUUUCUUCUGAGUGUUCAAACCUAACAAAUACAACAAAGAAUAUGGUAUAUAUCAGAACU